rnacentral:rRNA from 1 species
UACAUAGGGAGCAAGCGUUAUCCGGAUUUACUGGGUGUAAAGGGUGCGUAGGCGGCUAAGCAAGUCAGAUAUGAAAUACACGGGCUCAACCCGUGAGCUGCAUUUGAAACUGUUUAGCUUGAGUGAAGUAGAGGCAGGCGGAAUUCCCGGUGUAGCGGUGAAAUGCGUAGAGAUCGGGAGGAACACCAGUGGCGAAGGCGGCCUGCUGGGCUUUAACUGACGCUGAGGCACGAAAGCGUGGGUAGCAAACAGGAUUAGAUACCCUGGUAGUCCACGCUGUAAACGAUGAUUACUAGGUGUGGGUGGACUGACCCCAUCCGUGCCGCAGUUAACACAAUAAGUAAUCCACCUGGGGAGUACGACCGCAAGGUUGAA